CGGCGGACGGGUGAGUAACACGUGGGUAACCUACCUAUAAGACUGUGACAACUUCGGGAAACCGGAGCUAAUACCGGAUAAGAUAUCGAACCGCAUGGUUCGAUAGUGAAAGAUGGUUUUGCUAUCACUUAUAGAUGGACCCGCGCCGUAUUAGCUAGUUGGUGAGGUAACGGCUCACCAAGGCAACGAUACGUAGCCGACCUGAGAGGGUGAUCGGCCACACUGGAACUGAGACACGGUCCAGACUCCUACGGGAGGCAGCAGCC
rnacentral:rRNA from 1 species